rnacentral:tRNA from 1 species
CGCGGAGUGGAGCUGUGGUAGCUCGUCGGGCUCAUAACCCGAAGGUCGUAGGUUCGAGUCCUGCCUCCGCAA